rnacentral:rRNA from 1 species
AAUUUUGGACAAUGGGCGCAAGCCUGAUCCAGCAAUGCCGCGUGCAGGAUGAAGGCCNNNGGGUUNUCAACUGCUUUUGUACGNAAANAAAAGCCCUGGGUUAAUACCCUGGGGUCAUGACGGUACCGUAAGAAUAAGCACCGGCUAACUACGUUCCAGCAGCCGCGGUAAUACGUAGGGUGCAAGCGUUAAUCGGAAUUAAUGGGCGUAAAGCGUGCGCAGGCGGUUUUGUAAGACAGAGGUGAAAUCCCCGGGCUCAACCUGGGAACUGCCUUUGUGACUGCAAGGCUAGAGUACGGCAGAGGGGGAUGGAAUUCCGCGUGUAGCAGUGAAAUGCGUAGAUAUGCGGAGGAACACCGAUGGCGAAGGCAAUCCCCUGGGCCUGUACUGACGCUCAUGCACGAAAGCGUGGGGAGCAAACAGG